CCUACGGGUGGCAGCAGUGAGGAAUAUUGGUCAAUGGGCGCGAGCCUGAACCAGCCAAGUCGCGUGAAGGAAGACGGUACUUAGUGUUGUAAACUUCUUUUGUCCGGGAACAAAGGCGGAGACGCGUCUCCGGAUGAGUGUACCCGAAGAAUAAGCAUCGGCUAACUCCGUGCCAGCAGCCGCGGUAAUACGGAAGGUCCGGGCGUUAUCCGGAUUUAUUGGGUUUAAAGGGAGCGUAGGCCGGCUUUUAAGUCAGCUGUGAAAGUCCGCGGCUCAACCGUGGAAUUGCAGUUGAUACUGGAGGCCUUGAGUGCACACAGGGUAGCCGGAAUGCAUGGUGUAGCGGUGAAAUGCUUAGAGAUCAUGAAGAACUCCGAUUGCGAAGGCAAGUGUCCGGGGUGCAACUGACGCUGAGGCUCGAAAGUGCGGGUAUCAAACAGGAUUAGAUACCCGAGUAGUC
rnacentral:rRNA from 1 species